AUCAGGUAGGAUCACCCGCUGAACUUAAGCAUAUCAUUAAGCGGAGGAAAAGAAACUAACAAGGAUUCCCCUAGUAACGGCGAGUGAAGAGGGAAGAGCUCAAAUUUGAAAGCUGGUACCUCCGGUAUCCGCGUUGUAACCUCGAGACACGUUUUCCGUGCGGCGCUAUGGACAAGUUCCUUGGAACAGGACAUCGUAGAGGGUGAAAAUCCCGUACUUGCCAUGGAUGUACCGUGCUUUGCGAUACGUGCUCUAAGAGUCGAGUUGUUUGGGAUUGCAGCUCAAAAUGGGUGGUAGACUCCAUCUAAAGCUAAAUAUCGGGGAGAGACCGAUAGCGAACAAGUACCGUGAGGGAAAGAUGAAAAGCACUUUGGAAAGAGAGUUAAAAGUACGUGAAAUUGUCGAAAGGGAAGCGCUUGAAGUCAGCCAUGCCGCUCAGGACUCAGCCUGGCUUUUGCUUGGUGUAUUUCCUGGGUAGCAAGUCAGCAUUGGUUUGGAUCGUCGGAGAAGCAUAGUCGGAAUGUGGCGCCCUCGGGCGUGUUAUAGCCUUCUAUUGGAUACGACGAUCUAGACCAAGGAACGCAGCGCGCCUUAUGGCGGGUCUUCGGACACAUUCGCGCUUAGGAUGCUGGCGUAAUG
rnacentral:rRNA from 1 species